AGCGAACGCUGGCGGCAGGCCUAACACAUGCAAGUCGAACGAACUCUUCGGAGUUAGUGGCGGACGGGUGAGUAACACGUGGGAACGUGCCUUUUGGUUCGGAAUAACUCAGGGAAACUUGUGCUAAUACCGAAUGUGCCCUUCGGGGGAAAGAUUUAUCGCCAUUAGAGCGGCCCGCGUCGGAUUAGCUUGUUGGUGAGGUAACGGCUCACCAAGGCGACGAUCAUUAGCUGGUCUGAGAGGAUGACCACCCACACUGGGAAUGAGACACGGCACAGACUCCUACGGGAGGCAGCAGUGGGGAAUCUUGCGCAAUGGGCGAAAGCCUGACGAAGCCCUGACGCGUGAAUGAUGAAGGUCUUAGGAUUGUAAAAUUCUUUAACCGGGGACGAUAAUGACGGUACCCGGAGAAGAAGCCCCGGCUAACUUCGUG
rnacentral:rRNA from 1 species